UACGAAGGGGGCUAGCGUUGCUCGGAAUUACUGGGCGUAAAGGGCGCGUAGGCGGCUCUGUUAGUCAGGCGUGAAAUUCCUGGGCUCAACCUGGGGACUGCGCUUGAUACGGCGGGGCUUGAGGAUGGAAGAGGGUCGCGGAAUUCCCAGUGUAGAGGUGAAAUUCGUAGAUAUUGGGAAGAACACCGGUGGUGAAGGCGGCGACCUGGUCCAUUACUGACGCUGAGGCGCGACAGCGUGGGGAGCAAACAGG
rnacentral:rRNA from 1 species